UCCCUGGUAGCUCAGCUGGUAAAGAAUCUGCCUGCAAUGCAGAAGACCUGGGUUCGAUCCCUGGGUUGGGAA
rnacentral:tRNA from 1 species